UCGUGCUGACGCCAUUUUACAAAUUGAAAAUGGGCAGAAAUAUGGGGAAGAAACUGAAGUCAGUUUCACUCUGGCCUCCCAGAGUAAUACUUUGCUAUGAAACAACAUUUAACGUUAACGUUCAACAAAACAAGUUAGCUAACGCCAACUUGCUAGUUAUGCUAAUGAUAGCCGGUUGUGAGGCUGGCUAGCUACCAAGCAAACAGACAAACAAAAGUAGCUAGCAUUACAUCAGUGGACAUGGAUAUGGACCAUUUCGCCCAACGUUACAUGAAUGAGAGAAGACCCGGCGUCAAAUAUUGUUCACAGCCCGACCUUGGCACUGCUACUGGAGAAAAGUCUGUUUAAUGUGAGCACAGCAGCAGAUUACGGUGAGAGGCCCCUCCCUCCUCUUCUGCCACCCCACACUGAAAAUCCAUAUCAACCUAACCUUGAGGAUGAAUACUACUAACAGAAACACAGCAGAUCCUGAUGUGAAUAAAUGAAGCUGAUCUGUCCUGCAGGCAGCAUCACCUGAAGAGGAAAAAAAACAUUACAAAAUAAA